GACAGAGGGUGCAAACGUUGUUCGGAAUUAUUGGGCGUAAAGAGCUCGUAGGCGGUUCGUCGCGUCGAAUGUGAAAACCCGGGGCUCAACUCCGGGCCUGCAUUCGAUACGGGCGGACUAGAGUUCGGUAGGGGAGACUGGAAUUCCUGGUGGUAGCGGUGAAAUGCGCAGAUAUCAGGAGGAACACCGAUGGCGAAGGCGGUUCUCUGGGCAUUACCUGACGCUGAGGAGCGAAAGUGUGGGGAGCGAACAGG
rnacentral:rRNA from 1 species